GUCAAAUCCUAACCCCUUAGGAUUUAUUUUCCUCCUUGAAUUUAACUUCUCUACAAUCCUAUGCAUGCACGUCAGCUUCCUCUUUUGAUAAGUCAUGGUCUCUUACUUAGCACGUGAUGAGUCUCCAACCAAUUGGCUUAGUUUUCUCUUUUACUUCAUCUCUUUUGCACUCCAGCAAGCUGCCCACAUAAUUCCAAUAUUAUUUGCCUACAUAAAAAUAUAAUAGACCAAAAUGAAUAAAUUAGUAAAUAAAUAAGCUCUAAGGGUAUAUUUAAGGGACAUACACGAUGCAUUUUUCAGCUAUUAUCAGUAGGUUUGAUAAGACAUAAGUUUAUCUUCAUUCAUAUUCUCAGUUUUGUUCUGUUGGUGCUUGGAAGUUUGUUUUGUUUGCUCAAGGAUUUGAUCUUUAUGGUUGUCAAAAGAAUCAAUGGUUCAAGGAUAAUAUCUGAAUUUGAUAUAUAUGCCCCACACGACUGAUAUACCUAAUAAAAACAUUGUUCACUGGUGCCAUUUUGGUGCCAAACAGGCUUCCAAAUAGGCACUUAUACAUGUUCAUUCUUUAUGAAGUUGAUGACUUAGUUCACUGGUGCCAUUUUGAAUUUAAGAAUCUUUAGUUGAUUUCAUGAUUAUAAUUCACACCAGCGUUUUUGGUAUCUGCAAUUGUCCUAUGAACUUAUGAAGGGUGGUGCAGAAAGGGAACAAGGCCUGCUUCAGAUACUAACAGAGAUGGAUGGAUUUAAAGAGUUUACCUCACAGGUGCUAGUUAUAGGUGCAACAAAUAGAUUAGAUAUCCUUGAUCCUGCUCUAUUGAGAAAGGGCCGCUUUGACAAGAUUAUAAGAGUUGGUUUGCCAUCAAAGGAUGGUAGACUGGCCAUAUUGAAGG